rnacentral:rRNA from 1 species
CCUACGGGAGGCUGCAGUGAGGAAUAUUGGUCAAUGGACGAGAGUCUGAACCAGCCAAGUAGCGUGAAGGAUGACUGCCCUAUGGGUUGUAAACUUCUUUUAUAUGGGAAUAAAAUGUUCCACGUGUGGGCUUUUGUAUGUACCAUAUGAAUAAGGAUCGGCUAACUCCGUGCCAGCAGCCGCGGUAAUACGGAGGAGCCGAGCGUUAUCCGGAUUUAUUGGGUUUAAAGGGAGCGUAGGUGGAUUGUUAAGUCAGUUGUGAAAGUUUGCGGCUCAACCGUAACAUUGCAGUUGAAACUGGCAGUCUUGAGUACAGUAGAGGUGGGCGGAAUUCGGGGUGUAGCGGUGAAAUGCUGAGAUAUCACGAAGAACUCCGAUUGCGAAGGCAGCUCACUGGACUGCAACUGACACUGAGGCUCGAAAGUGUGGGUAUCAAACAGGAUUAGAUACCCCGGUAGUC